rnacentral:rRNA from 1 species
AAUUUUACACAAUGGGGGAAACCCUGAUGUAGCGACACCGCGUGAGCGAAGAAGCCCUUCGGGGUGUAAAGCUCUGUCAGCAGGGACGAAAAAAAUGACGGUACCUGCAGAGGAAGCAUCGGCUAACUACGUGCCAGCAGCCGCGGUAAGACGUAGGAUGCAAGCGUUGUCCGGAUUUAUUGGGCGUAAAGAGUUCGUAGGCGGUUCGUUAAGUCUGGUGUAAAAGACUGGGGCCCAACCCUGGGAUCGCACUGGAUACUGGCGGACUCGAGUGCAGUAGAGGCAAGCGGAAUUCCGAGUGUAGCGGUGAAAUGCGUAGAUAUUGGGAAGAACACCGGUGGCGUAAGCGGCUUGCUGGGCUGUUACUGACGCUGAGGAACGAAAGCUAGGGGAGCAAAUGGG